GAACGCUUGUUUUUCUUGGCCA
rnacentral:siRNA from 1 species